GCUAAAUUUUGUCCUCAAAUGUUCUCUUUUUGUCUGUUUGGAGGCCAAAUGGAUAUGUGUGUCCUCAAAUGUCUUCUUUUUGUCUGUUUGGAGGCCAAAUGGAUAUGUGUUCCUACAGUGUCCGUCCUCGUUACCAAUUCCUCUCCCCAAUUUUUUUUUUGUCUUUUCCCCUUUUCCCAUCUUCCUCCGCUCCCGAUCCUCUCCGUGCUCAUCCUGCUGCUGGUAUACCUCGCCAUGGAUCGGAUCAAAUCAAAGCCAACCCGCAUCAUUCCUAAUCCAUACUAGUACUCCAUCUUAGGAACUAACAUCAAGAAUCUGCCAUGCAUACUACCCUCCUCGAAGACUACCAGCUGCUACUUGCCUUGGCCUGCUGGUGCAUGCCAUGCCAGUGCCUGCGUCACUGUCCAUGCCGCCAUGCUGGCCUCGCCAUGGAGGAUGUUGAACCCGCUGGUUGUGCCCGUGCGCGGCGGCAUGUUUCUGCUGCUGCUAGAGCGGCCUGCUGCGCGUACAUCAUCGACCGGCUCCUGCGUCGAGGGCCCAAGCGGAGCAGGCGGCCGGCGUCUCUCUCGCGCUGAAGGAGGAGGCGCGGGAGCAGCUACGGCGGGCGGCAGCGGAGAAAGCCGCCGCGCACGAAACGCGGGCGGCACGCGGAUGCGGUAGCAGGCGCGGGUGAAGCUCGGCCAUCGCGGGGGGAGCUCGGUCGCCAGAGAGAAGAGAGGAGAAGAAGAAAAGUCGCGGGGCAGAGGAAGAGAAAGGAAACCCAAACUUGCCCCAAAUUUGGAGAGGGUUUGGGAAUUUGUCCGGACA
rnacentral:lncRNA from 1 species